AAGAGCGUGCGCAGAGCUGCAGAGCCUUCAACACUCCAUAUGACGCCUUCAAUAGGAAGGGAGGAAGAUAAAUAACAUGGAAACAGAGAGAAUCACCUGGACCAAUUUUGGUAUUAAAAAACCUGGAAAAAGCAUUACAUGUUUGUCUUUAAUUUUUCUGCCCUCAGAGUGAAUCUUGGUCAUCGUUACAGAACUGUAGAGCUCCAAGAUGAUACCUUUUAUUUCUAAGGAUCCUGCAUGCAGUGUGAGAAGCUGGCUGACGUUGCUAGCUCCACUUCAAAGGUAAAGAAACUGAGUCAGGCAGAGAGAGCACCAGAUCUGUCUGAGCUCAGUGGAGGCGAACAAUCAGAGACUCGACUGAAUAACAGCCUCAGAAAAAGGAUGCAGUUUAGUCUUCCAGCUACGGGCUAAGGUGUCUUAUUUUUUCUAGAGUAAUAAAAAUCAGAAUUUUAAAGUA
rnacentral:lncRNA from 1 species